GAUGAACGCUGGCGGCGUGCCUAAUAGAUGCAAGUCGAGCGAAUGGAUUAAGAGCUUGCUCUUAUGAAGUUAGCGGCGGACGGGUGAGUAGCACGUGGGUAACCUGCCCAUAAGACUGGGAUAACUCCGGGAAACCGGGGCUAAUACCGGAUAACAUUUUGAACCGCAUGGUUCGAAAUUGAAAGGCGGCUUCGGCUGUCACUUAUGGAUGGACCCGCGUCGCAUUAGCUAGUUGGUGAGGUAACGGCUCACCAAGGCAACGAUGCGUAGCCGACCUGAGAGGGUGAUCGGCCACACUGGGACUGAGACACGGACCAGACUCCUACGGGAGGCAGCAGUAGGGAAUCUUCCGCAAUGGACGAAAGUCUGACGGAGCAACGCCGCGUGAGUGAUGAAGGCUUUCGGGUCGUAAAACUCUGUUGUUAGGGAAGAACAAGUGCUAGUUGAAUAAGCUGGCACCUUGACGGUACCUAACCAGAAAGCCACGGCUAACUACGUGCCAGCCGCCGCCGUAA
rnacentral:rRNA from 1 species